GCGGCGGGCCGGCCCCCGCAUUAAGCGCGGCCCCCCUGGGGAAUUGGCUCCGCAGGGGGCUGAGCCGGCCACGCGCAGGGCCGGGCCUCCCCUGGGAGCUGUUCUGGGGCCGCUUGGCUUCAGCACCUUCCUCAGUGAUGUAGAGACUGCAGUAAGUUUCCCGUGACACCCUGUACAAUGCAGUGCUGUAGAUCCUGCAAGGGACUCAAGUGAAACCACGCAAGUUUGCGGAAACUGUGGAGCUGCUGAUCAGCCUGAAAAACUAUGACCCACAGAAGGACAAACAUUUCUGGCACAGUCAGGCUUGGCACCUCUCUGAUUCCACCCAGCCUUUGGCCUGCAACCUUCUCCCUCCAGGCACUUUGAAUGUACAUGUGGUUGGCAACACGUUGACUGCUUGAUACAAUGGCAGGAGGGUGCAGUGCUGAAUUGCCUGGGUAGUUCAUACACACACACACACACACCCCGUCUCCAAGUGGUAUGGCUGGACAGACCCCUAUCCUGGGUCUUAAAAUGUGAGCGGAGAUGUGGUGAGGCUCCUGUGCUGAUCCCUCUGACCAGUUGGAGAAGCCAGAUUAGAGGCAGGUGGAUAAAGAUUCACAGGUGAUUGUUGUAAGGUUUCUGGGCUGUAGCUCUGCCUGCUCCCUCAAGGUGUGUGGUGCUGACAGUGCAGAAGGACAGUGUGGGGGUGUCAUCUUCCCUUCCUGACAGGCUCAAGUCCUUCCUGUGCCCUAAAUUCUCACUCUGCAUGCUGGGGGUCCAGUGACACUGAUGAGGCCAAAGCAGUCAAAUAUCCCUCAUGUGGACAUCAAGGCUCUG